rnacentral:rRNA from 1 species
GCCGCGGUAAUACGGAGGGUGCAAGCGUUAUCCGGAUUCACUGGGUUUAGAGGGUGUGUAGGCGGGUAGUUAAGUCAGUGGUGAGCUCUCCAGGCUCAUACCUGGAAAGCUGCCAUUGAUACUAUCUAUCUUGUAUAUCGUUGAGGUGGGCGGUAUAUGUCAUGUAGCGGUGCUUGCAUAGAUAUGACAUAGCACACCAAUUGCGAAGGCAGCUCGCUACACGAUCAUUGACGCUGAGGCACGAGAAGCGUGGGGGAUCACCACAGGAUUUAAGACUACCCUGGUAGUCCACGCCCUAAGACGAUGAUUACUCGACAUACGCUGAUACACAGUGUGUGUCUGAGCGAAAGCAUUUAGGUCAUCCACCUGGGAAGUACGUCCGCCAAGGUAUGACACUCAAAGGUAAUUG